UCAUGGCCCUUACGGCUGGCUACACACGUGCUACAAUGGUCGGUACAGAGGGUUGCCAAGCCGCGAGUGGAGCUAAUCUCACAAAACCGAUCGUAGUCCGGAUCGCAGUCUGCAACUCGACUGCGUGAAGUCGGAAUCGCUAGUAAUCGCGAAUCAGAAUGUCGCGGUGAAUACGUUCCCGGGCCUUGUACACACCGCCCGUCACACCAUGGGAGUGGGUUGCACCAGAAGUAGCUAGUCUAACCUUCGGGAGGACGGUUACCACGGUGUGAUUCAUGACUGGGGUGAAGUCGUAACAAGGUAGCCGUAGGGAA
rnacentral:rRNA from 1 species